rnacentral:tRNA from 1 species
CCACUAGCUCUUAUUGUGAAAAUAAAAUUUUUGGUGCGCUUUCCCUUUGAAUGAGUAGAUCUUCCAGCCCCC